ensembl:lncRNA
UUUAAUUACUGUUCUGAGAGAAAUCAUUAUGGAGUAUUUAGACCAUGGCGUUUUUGCAAGAAAUUAUAAGCCCAUAUAAUUCUCCAUUAUGGCCUGUAUUAUGGGGAAAGCUCUCAUGCCCUUUCUAGGAAGUCAGCACGCUGGGGUGCCUCUCUGAAGUGCCUGUACACUAAUGCACACAGCAUAGGGAACAAACAGGAGGCAUUAGAAGUCUGUGUGCAGUUGCAGGGCUAUGAUCUCAUUGGGACCACGGAGAUGUGGUGGGAUAGCUCACACGACUGGAAUGCUGUGAUGGAUAGCUACAGGCUCUUGAGGAAGGACAGGCCGGGAAGGCGAGGAAGGAGAAUUGCAAACUUACUGGUAGGCAUGGAGUCAGUUUGGCUAGAGAGAGGAAGCGCAGAGGUGCAGUUGGAUUUGGGGACACAGAGCGAAUAGGCUUCCCAUCACUUGCUCUCUGGCUUUCUUUCUCCCUGUGCCCCCUAUCUGGCUCACUUGCUUUCUGUGCCCCAUCACUCUCUUGCUCACAUGCUCUUUGUUCCCUCGUUUGCUUGCUCACUCUCUGUGCCCACAUGCUUUCUGUGCCCCCUCGCCCACUUGCUUUCUUCACUCACUUUCUGUGCUCCCUCACUAUUUGUGCCCCCUCUCUGACUCACUUGCUCUCUGGCUCACUCUCUUUGCCCCAUUGCCCACCCAGUCCCUCUCUGUCCCCCCCUCACCCGCUUGCUCUCUUCGCUCACUCUCUGUGCCCUCUUGCUUGCUCGCUCUCUUCGCACGCUCUGUGUGCCCUUUUACCCCCUUCCUCUAUUCGCUCGCUUUCUCUGCCCCCUUCCUCCCUUACUCUCUGUGCCCCCUCGCUCACUCGCUCUCUGUCUCGCUUGCUCUCUGUGCCUCCUCUUUGACUCACUCGCUCUCUGGCUCACUCUCUGUGCCCCCUCAUUCACUUGCUCACUCUCUUCGCUCGCUUUCUGUGCCCCCCUCGCUCACUUGCUUUCUGUGCCCCCUUGCUCUCUCACUUGAUCUCUGGAUAUCUCACUCUGUGCCUGCCCACUCCCUCGCUCUCAGUACCCAGUCUCUGGCUCGCUCUCUGUGCCUGCUCUCUUGCUCUCUGUGCCUACUCUCUGUCUCUCUCUCUGUGCCCACUCUCUUGCUCUCUGUGUUCCCUCUCUGGCUUGCUCUCUUUGCUUGCUCUCUUGCUCACUCUCUGUGCCCGUUGGCUCUCUCUGUGCAACUGCUCUUGCACUGUGUGCUCUCUCGCUCGCUCUGUGCCCCCACUCUCAUGCUCACUUUGUGCCCCUGCUCUCUUGCUCUCUCUGUGUGGCCGCUCGCUCUCUGUGCCCGCUCUCUGUGCCUGCUCUCCUGCUCGCUCGCUCUCUGUGCCCCCUCUCUCACUUGCUUGCUCUCUGUGCCUGCUCGCUUGCUCACUCUCUGUGCUCCCUCUCUUUGCCCGCUGGCAUUCUCUCUGUGACCCCUUGCUCUCUCUCUCCCUCUUUCUCUGUGCCCCCCUCACUCGCUCGCUGUGCUUCCUCUCUUUCUCCCUCUCUGUGCCCUCCUUGCUCUCUCGCUUUCUCUGUGCUCCCUCUCUGUGCCCGCUCGCUUGCUAGCUCACGCUCUG